UCCCGUUCCUUCUCUCGGUGACGGUACUCGAUGCGAUGGCAAGUCAAUAUGAUGUCUGGCUAUUUAUUGAAUUGAAUAAGUCGAAAAAAAUGGAUAGUAGAAAUAAUAAAAGCUAGUCUUGUGGUUAAAUGUAAUUCAGCACAAUGCUGUUGUGCCGUGGCAAAAAUGGGAAACUAGGGCGUUUUCAUCCCCUGCUCUACACGUGGCAUGGCGACGAGAGCGCUAAUGGAGGCACAAGAACCGGACUUUUCUCAAUAGACCGUUAAGUCUCCUCCGAGCGUAGUGAGCUCAAGGAUCACACAUGGAGGGAUGCAGAACGAGUGAGUGGAGUUACCUGCAGCCAUAACCUGAUGAUGUUUUAAAAUGUGGGUGACUAAGAGGAGAUGGCUUGGAUGGACUGGAGGCCUUUGCUGUGUCUCUUCCAGAUCUGUGCAGAGCUUCCAAGCGGCUACUCGCAGCUUCGAAGAUGGUUCAUCCAAGUAACUGAUGUGUUCUCAUACUUUUUGAGUUGACCUCUUAAAACAGACCUUUCAAGAUGUGAAUAUUGAGCUUUUGAAAUACUCCCUGUUCUGGACAAUGUGUACAAUCAAAUGUUCUGAAGCACUGUGUAAAUGGGAGUGUAUUAAAACAAAUGUUAAUAAAAGAUUGUCUACUAAACCUUUGUGUUUUUCUAAUGGUGCUUUAAAUAUAAAUGCAAAGCUAAAUGCUAUAUUGGGACAGGUUGACUCUCAGUGGUAUUAAUGAUUGCACACCUGACAACUGUAGUUUCUAGUUAUCUGUACACGACAUGCUCUUAGGUGAAUAGAUUCACUCUGAACUAGAUAUGACUAAUCUUGUAACUGCUCCCCUGCACAUUCUACCGUUAUGACGGAUGGAGCCAGUACAGUUGCAUAAGCCGACCGGUUUGAUUACACGCAUUCAUAGCGGUGUUAACAAAAGCCAGCCCAUAUCUGGACAGCGUGAGACCACACCCACGUCAUACAUUUAUUCCGUAUUGUACAACUUGGUACAAGUUGCCGAAAUGGCUUAUGUUCCAACCGCAUAUCCAAGCUGUGACUAAAAGUUUUGAGGAGUCUCGCUGGUAAACGUGUUUUAUUGUGAAGGUUGAAAGCCGGUAGUCCUUUGUUCUCGUAAUUGGUGAGCUAUUCGGUUCGGAGACUAUUUUUGGCAGACUAGGAGCACCGUCAAUGGUACAUGUCGACUGUUAGCUUUAGCUGGAAGAAGUCUUCUUACUGUAAAGGCUGAGGAGGACGUAAACAUGCAGCAUGUAGAAGUUAAGUAACUUUGUGUGACGAGUUAUUUGAGCCUAACAGCUAGCUAUGCUCUGGGAGACAAACGAGCUAACGUUGCCGAAGGUAUGAGGAGUGGAUUUUCGUCGAACAGUGACCCUAAGAUCGCCUAUACUGAGCGGAAGCCUUGUCAACUCAACCCGUUUCCCGUACGGCCGAUGCUAAUGCUCUUGAGUUUAUGAGAGUGAAAAGUUGAGCCUUUAGAGGCAGCACAGACAGCCACGAAAGCUGCCAGGUUCGACCAAAAGUAUGUAGACGAGAAGUCUGACCUGUAGCAAAUGUUAUAAUUUCAUCAAGGACACUGUUAGUAAUUUAAGUGGUUGUGUGUGUUGAACUGCUCUAACACACCCGAAGGUGUGUCUGUGGCAUGGGGGGAUGUCAUUCUUUUCGGGCCUGAGUCCUUGUGAACAAGUAUUUCGGCUCCUCAACUGAACUAACAGUAAAUGCAUGCAUUUCUCUUAAGUUCAAAACGCUGCUCAGAAACUUAAGCAAAGAGGAGCUGAGCCCUGAGUGUCUGCAAAUUUUGAUUGACCUCCAACAAGCCUCUGUC